GAUGAACGCUAGCGACAGGCUUAACACAUGCAAGUCGAGGGGCAGCGGGGGAUGCGUUCGCGCAUUCUGCCGGCGACCGGCGCACGGGUGAGUAACACGUAUGCAACCUGCCCCGUCCAGGGGGAUAAUCGGCGGAAACGCCGUCUAAUACCGCGUAUAUCGAUUCCGGGCAUCCGGGAUUGAAGAAAGGGCCUUAGGGUCCGGGACGGGAUGGGCAUGCGGCGCAUUAGGAAGUUGGCGGUGUAACGGACCACCAAUCCGUCGAUGCGUAGGGGUUCUGAGAGGAAGGCCCGCCACACUGGUACUGAGACACGGACCAG
rnacentral:rRNA from 1 species